rnacentral:rRNA from 1 species
GACGAACGCUGGCGGCGUGCCUAACACAUGCAAGUCGAGCGGGGAGAGAUUUUCGGAUUUCUCUUUAGCGGCGGACGGGUGAGUAACACGUGGGUAACCUGCCUCAAAGAGGGGGAUAGCCUUCCGAAAGGAAGAUUAAUACCGCAUAAUAUCAGGAAGCUGCAUGGCAUUCUGAUUAAGGGAGCAAUCCGCUUUGAGAUGGACCCGCGGCGCAUUAGCUAGUUGGUGAGGUAACGGCCCACCAAGGCGACGAUGCGUAGCCGACCUGAGAGGGUGAUCGGCCACAUUGGAACUGGGACACGGUCCAGACUCCUACGGGAGGCAGCAGUGGGGAAUAUUGCACAAUGGGGGAAACCCUGAUGCAGCAACGCCGCGUGAGUGAUGAAGGCCUUCGGGUCGUAAAGCUCUUUCUUCAGGGACGAUAAUGACGGUACCUGAGGAGGAAGCCACGGCUAACUACGUGCCAGCCGCCGCCGUAACAC